UACGUAGGUGGCAAGCGUUGUCCGGAAUUAUUGGGCGUAAAGCGCGCGCAGGCGGUCCUUUAAGUCUGAUGUGAAAGCCCACGGCUCAACCGUGGAGGGUCAUUGGAAACUGGGGGACUUGAGUACAGAAGAGAAGAGUGGAAUUCCACGUGUAGCGGUGAAAUGCGUAGAAGAUGUGGAGGAACACCAGUGGCGAAGGCGACUCUUUGGUCUGUAACUGACGCUGAGGCGCGAAAGCGUGGGGAGCAAACAGG
rnacentral:rRNA from 1 species